UACGAAGGGUGCAAGCGUUACUCGGAAUUACUGGGCGUGAAGGGUGCGUAGGCGGUUGUUUAAGUCUGUCGUGAAAUCCCCGGGCUCAACCUGGGAAUGGCGAUGGAUACUGGACAGCUAGAGUGUGUCAGAGGAUGGUGGAAUUCCCGGUGUAGCGGUGAAAUGCGUAGAGAUCGGGAGGAACAUCAGUGGCGAAGGCGGCCAUCUGGGACAACACUGACGCUGAAGCACGAAAGCGUGGGGAGCAAACAGG
rnacentral:rRNA from 1 species